rnacentral:lncRNA from 1 species
AGAUAUAUAGCAUCUGUUAAACUAACAAUCGAAAUUAAACGUAUGUAUUUUUUAAAUUUGAAUUAUAUAAUAGUAACAUAGUUGAUUAAAAAAUAAAUAAUAUAUAUAACUAAAUUUUUUAUUAUUCUAAUAUAGUUUGAAUGAACGUUAUACUCCAAUCCGAGAAUUCAAGAAUGCAUCCCGUCUGAAUUCUUGGUGAAUCCUAAUAUAUGGCACGUGAACCUGCCAUUGGUAGUGUAUGUUACAGUGGAGAUGCACGAGUCGGAAAAAGUGUUGCGAAAGUUCGGGUUUAGGUAAACUAUCCCAUCGACACCCCAAGACAUCGAAGAUC